rnacentral:rRNA from 1 species
AUUGAACGCUGGCGGCAGGCCUAACACAUGCAAGUCGAGCGGAAACGAGUUAUCUGAACCUUCGGGGGACGAUAACGGCGUCGAGCGGCGGACGGGUGAGUAAUGCCUAGGAAAUUGCCCUGAUGUGGGGGAUAACCAUUGGAAACGAUGGCUAAUACCGCAUAAUGCCUACGGGCCAAAGAGGGGGACCUUCGGGCCUCUCGCGUCAGGAUAUGCCUAGGUGGGAUUAGCUAGUUGGUGAGGUAAUGGCUCACCAAGGCGACGAUCCCUAGCUGGUCUGAGAGGAUGAUCAGCCACACUGGAACUGAGACACGGUCCAGCUCCUACGGGAGGCAGCAGUGGGGAAUAUUGCACAAUGGGCGCAAGCCUGAUGCAGCCAUGCCGCGUGUGUGAAGAAGGCCUUCGGGUUGUAAAGCACUUUCAGUCGUGAGGAAGGUGGUGUAGUUAAUAGCUGCAUUAUUUGACGUUAGCGACAGAAGAAGCACCGGCUAACUCCGUGCCAGCAGCCGCGGUAAUACGGAGGGUGCGAGCGUUAAUCGGAAUUACUGGGCGUAAAGCGCAUGCAGGUGGUUUGUUAAGUCAGAUGUGAAAGCCCGGGGCUCAACCUCGGAAUAGCAUUUGAAACUGGCAGACUAGAGUACUGUAGAGGGGGGUAGAAUUUCAGGUGUAGCGGUGAAAUGCGUAGAGAUCUGAAGGAAUACCGGUGGCGAAGGCGGCCCCCUGGACAGAUACUGACACUCAGAUGCGAAAGCGUGGGGAGCAAACAGGAUUAGAUACCCUGGUAGUCCACGCCGUAAACGAUGUCUACUUGGAGGUUGUGGCCUUGAGCCGUGGCUUUCGGAGCUAACGCGUUAAGUAGACCGCCUGGGGAGUACGGUCGCAAGAUUAAAACUCAAAUGAAUUGACGGGGGCCCGCACAAGCGGUGGAGCAUGUGGUUUAAUUCGAUGCAACGCGAAGAACCUUACCUACUCUUGACAUCCAGAGAACUUUCCAGAGAUGGAUUGGUGCCUUCGGGAACUCUGAGACAGGUGCUGCAUGGCUGUCGUCAGCUCGUGUUGUGAAAUGUUGGGUUAAGUCCCGCAACGAGCGCAACCCUUAUCCUUGUUUGCCAGCGAGUAAUGUCGGGAACUCCAGGGAGACUGCCGGUGAUAAACCGGAGGAAGGUGGGGACGACGUCAAGUCAUCAUGGCCCUUACGAGUAGGGCUACACACGUGCUACAAUGGCGCAUACAGAGGGCAGCAAGCUAGCGAUAGUGAGCGAAUCCCAAAAAGUGCGUCGUAGUCCGGAUUGGAGUCUGCAACUCGACUCCAUGAAGUCGGAAUCGCUAGUAAUCGUGGAUCAGAAUGCCACGGUGAAUACGUUCCCGGGCCUUGUACACACCGCCCGUCACACCAUGGGAGUGGGCUGCAAAAGAAGUAGGUAGUUUAACCUUCGGGAGGACGCUUACCACUUUGUGGUUCAUGACUGG